rnacentral:rRNA from 1 species
UACGUAGGGUGCAAGCGUUAAUCGGAAUUACUGGGCGUAAAGCGUGCGCAGGCGGUUAUGCAAGACAGAUGUGAAAUCCCCGGGCUCAACCUGGGAACUGCAUUUGUGACUGCAUAGCUGGAGUGCGGCAGAGGGGGAUGGAAUUCCGCGUGUAGCAGUGAAAUGCGUAGAUAUUGGAAAGACCACCAACGGCGAAGGCACUCUACUGGGCCAUUACUGACACUGAGAGACGAAAGCUAGGGGAGCAAAUGGG